rnacentral:rRNA from 1 species
GAUGAACGCUAGCGGGAGGCUUAAUACAUGCAAGUCGAACGGUAACAGAUUAGUUUUUCGGAAUUGAUGCUGACGAGUGGCGCACGGGUGAGUAACGCGUACAUAACCUACCUUGGACAGGGGGAUAGCCUUGGGAAACUGAGAAUAAUACCCCAUAGUAUUAUAUAAUCGCAUGAUUAGAUAAUUAAAGUUCCGGCGGUCCAAGAUGGAUGUGCGUUAGAUUAGCUAGUUGGUAAGGUAACGGCUUACCAAGGCUACGAUCUAUAGGGGGCGUGAGAGCGUGGUCCCCCACACGGGUACUGAGACACGGACCCGACUCCUACGGGAGGCAGCAGUAAGGAAUAUUGGACAAUGGGCGAAAGCCUGAUCCAGCCAUCCCGCGUGUAGGAUGACGGCCCUCUGGGUUGUAAACUACUUUUGUAUGGGAAGAAACACAUUCAUUUAUGAGUGUCUGACGGUACCAUAAGAAUAAGCAUCGGCUAACUCCG